rnacentral:rRNA from 1 species
UAUUGGUCAAUGGCCUAACGGCUGAACCAGCAAUUUGGGGGAAUGUAGCUAUAUACAACAAGGUAUAUAGGUAUCGACUAUGUCGAAUAAAGUUCUAAAUAGAUAAUUGAUAGUGACAAACUUCUAUUUAUAUGUCUCGACCAAUUCUUGUGCCAGCAGUCGCGGCAACACAAGUGAGACUAGUGUUAUUCAUCUUUAUUAGGUUUAAAGGGUACCUAGACGGUAUUUUCAGCCCCAGAAGGGUACAGAAUUACUAGAGUUUUAUGGGAGAGGCAAAUAUUAGGACCAUUGGUGUAGAGAUGAAAUUCUUUGAUACUAGUGGGAUGUGUAAUGGCGAAGGCAACCCUCUAUGUACAAACUGACGUUAAGGGACGAAGGCUUGGGGAGCGAAUAGGAUUAGAUACCCUAGUAGUCCAGGCAGAAAAUUAUGUAUGUUAUAGACUUCGAUUUAAUCGAUGUGUAUAAAUGAAAGUGUAAGCAUACCACCUCAAGAGUAAUGUGGCAACACAGGAACUGAAAUCAUUAGACCGUUUCUGAAACCAGUAGUGAAGUAUGUUAUUUA